UCCCGGGUAGCUCAAUCGGUAGAGCAUGAGACGUUUAAUCUCAGGGCUGUGGGUUCGAGCCCCACGUUGGGUA